GAGCCUCAAGCGUAGCAGAAAUUCCUCGCUUUGGAGAAUCAGUUUUUGGUCACUAGCCUUACACCCCAACUUAACAAGUUUGACCUCGGAUCAGGUAGGGAUACCCGCUGAACUUAAGCAUAUCAAUAAGCGGAGGAAAAGAAACCAACAGGGAUUGCCUCAGUAACGGCGAGUGAAGCGGCAAGAGCUCAAAUUUGAAAUCUGGCUUCUUCGGAGCCCGAGUUGUAAUUUGUAGAGGAUGCUUCGGGUUUGGCCCCGGCCUAAGUUCCUUGGAACAGGACGUCACAGAGGGUGAGAAUCCCGUAUGUGGCUGGAGGUCUAUGCCCAUGUGAAGCUCCUUCGACGAGUCGAGUUGUUUGGGAAUGCAGCUCAAAAUGGGUGGUAAAUUUCAUCUAAAGCUAAAUACCGGCGGGAGACCGAUAGCGCACAAGUAGAGUGAUCGAAAGAUGAAAAGCACUUUGGAAAGAGAGUUAAAAAGUACGUGAAAUUGUUGAAAGGGAAGCGCUUGCGACCAGACUUGCCCGCAGUUGAUCAACUGGUGUUCUCACCGGUGCACUUUGCUGUGGUCAGGCCAGCAUCGGUUUGGGUGGCUGGAGAAAGGCCCUGGGAAUGUGACUCCCUUCGGGGAGUGUUAUAGCCCGGGGUGUCAUGCAGCCAGCCUGGACUGAGGACCGCGCUUCGGCUAGGAUGCUGGCGUAAUGGUUGUAAGCGACC
rnacentral:rRNA from 1 species